rnacentral:rRNA from 3 species
CGAAAGCCUGACGGAGCAAUACCGCGUGAGGGAGGAAGGUCUAAUAGAUUGUAAACCUCUUUUCUCAGGGAAGAAAAAAAUGACGGUACCUGAGGAAUAAGCAUCGGCUAACUCCGUGCCAGCAGCCGCGGUAAUACGGAGGAUGCAAGCGUUAUCCGGAAUUAUUGGGCGUAAAGCGUCCGCAGGUGGUCAUACAAGUCUGCUGUCAAAGGCCAGAGCUUAACUCUGGGAAGGCGGUGGAAACUGUAAGACUAGAGACCGGUAGGGGUAGAGGGAAUUCCCAGUGUAGCGGUGAAAUGCGUAGAGAUUGGGAAGAACACCAGUGGCGAAGGCGCUCUACUGGGCCGGAACUGACACUCAGGGACGAAAGCUAGGGUAGCA